UCGGGGAAAUUGAAAAACUAGCAUAUCAAUAAGCGGAGGAAAAGAAACCAACAGGGAUUGCCCCCAGUAACGCGCGAGUGAAGCGGCAACAGCUCAAAUUUGAAAUCUGGUCCUUACGGGCCCGAGUUGUAAUUUGUAGAGGAUGCUUUUGGUGAGGCGCCGCCUGAGUUCCCUGGAACGGGACGCCAUAGAGGGUGAGAGCCCCGUCUGGCUGGAUGCCGAGCCUCUGUAAAGCUCCUUCGACGAGUCGAGUAGUUUGGGAAUGCUGCUCAAAAUGGGAGGUAUAUGUCUUCUAAAGCUAAAUAUUGGCCAGAGACCGAUAGCGCACAAGUAGAGUGAUCGAAAGAUGAAAAGCACUUUGAAAAGAGGGUUAAAUAGUACGUGAAAUUGUUGAAAGGGAAGCGCUCAUGACCAGACUUGGGCUUGGUGAAUCAUCCGGCGUUCUCGCCGGUGCACUUCGCCUCGUCCAGGCCAGCAUCAGUUCGCUUCGGGGGAUAAAGGCUUUGGGAACGUGGCUCCUCCGGGAGUGUUAUAGCCCAUUGUGUAAUACCCUGAGGUGGACUGAGGUUCGCGCUCCGCAAGGAUGCUGGCGUAAUGGUCAUCAGCGACCCGUCUUGAAACACGGACCAAGGAGUCGUCUUCGUAUGCGAGUGUUCGGGUGUCAAACCCCUACGCGUAAUGAAAGUGAACGCAGGUGAGAGCUUCGGCGCAUCAUCGACCGAUCCUGAUGUUCUCGGAUGGAUUUGAGUAAGAGCAUACGGGGCCGGACCCGAAAGAAGGUGAACUAUGCCUGUAUAGGGUGAAGCCAGAGGAACUCUGGUGGAGGCUCGCAGCGGUUCUGACGUGCAAAUCGAUCGUCAAAUAUGGGCAUGGGGCGAAAGACUAAUCGAACCUUCUAGUAGCUGGUUUCUGUUGAGCUUCUCCUUCCGGCAGGGAAAAAA
rnacentral:rRNA from 1 species